UACGUAGGGUGCAAACGUUGUUCGGAAUUACUGGGCGUAAAGCGCGUGUAGGCUGCUUCGCAAGUCGGAUGUGAAAGCCCUGGGCUCAACCCAGGAAGUGCAUUCGAAACUGCAGAGCUGGAGUCCUGGAGAGGAAGGCGGAAUUCUCGGUGUAGAGGUGAAAUUCGUAGAUAUCGAGAGGAACACCGGUGGCGAAGGCGGCCUUCUGGACAGUGACUGACGCUGAGACGCGAAAGCGUGGGGAGCAAACAGG
rnacentral:rRNA from 1 species